rnacentral:rRNA from 1 species
UAGGGAAUCUUCGGCAAUGGACGAAAGUCUGACCGAGCAACGCCGCGUGAGUGAAGAAGGUUUUCGGAUCGUAAAACUCUGUUGUUAGAGAAGAACAAGGACGUUAGUAACUGAACGUCCCCUGACGGUAUCUAACCAGAAAGCUACGGCUAACUACGUGCCAGCAGCCGCGGUAAUACGUAGGUGGCAAGCGUUGUCCGGAUUUAUUGGGCGUAAAGCGAGCGCAGGCGGUUUCUUAAGUCUGAUGUGAAAGCCCCCGGCUCAACCGGGGAGGGUCAUUGGAAACUGGGAGACUUGAGUGCAGAAGAGGGGAGUGGAAUUCCAUGUGUAGCGGUGAAAUGCGUAGAUAUAUGGAGGAACACCAGUGGCGAAGGCGGCUCUCUGGUCUGUAACUGACGCUGCGGAUCGAAAGCGUGGGGAGCAAACAGG